GCCACGUGCCCCCUUAAGUUUUUAGACGUCGGUAAUCAUACCAGCACUCUGAAAUAUACGGCACGUAGGCGCGUAUUCAAUUUAUGAACCAGGUGCGUAGUGACCCGCGACAGCAGUAGCCCGUUCCAAAUUUUUAGUAUGUCUUUUUGCAUGACACCGGAGUCUUUGGAACCACGGUCCUGUGUUAUGAUUUUGUUAUCGCGUAGGUGUUGGGGAUGUUUUUUGGGAGAUUUAAGACCGUGCCCGCACAAGUGCGACCUCAACUGUCGCGCAUGUUGACGUU
rnacentral:lncRNA from 1 species